rnacentral:tRNA from 1 species
GGGCCCGUGGCCUAGCCAGGAUCAAAGGCACCGAGCCAGAAAAGCCGGAGAUCCCGGGUUCAAAUCCCGGCGGGCCCGCCA